rnacentral:lncRNA from 1 species
AAUGAGUUUUCGUCAAAAUAUCGCGAUAUUAUCGAUAAUAUCGCGACAUUAGUUAUAAUAUCGCGAUAUUAUCGCGAUAUGACAUCCAAAAAUUCUUAAAAUUUUCUGAUAAGUCUCAAAUUUUGAGACUAAAAGGAUUCGAACCCCCUCCCAUUUGAGUCCUUAACGCCUUAACCACCAUAUCACUUAUGUUGUUGUGAUAAUAUGCUACUAUAUUUAUAUAUAUUGUUUUGUUUUGAAUUCUUUUUACAAGAAACAAAUUUGCACAUAUUCCA